CACAAAGUGUAGUUCUAAAAUGCAAUGGCUAAAAGCUGUGUUUUCAAUUUAAAGUGAGAGCUGGGAGCAUGUGAAGAAUAAAUGAAAUGGUGAGAUUAAGCAAGACUGUGGGAUAAAUACUCUGGUUCAGAUAUAAAGGCUUUAGUGACAAUGUCAGAUGCCUGAGGGUGAGAGUGAAGGACAGAAAAGAUCAGGGUUAUAAAUAGUUUACAUAAAUUGAAGAAAUAGGUCUAAGAAUUCCAGAAGAGUAUAAGGAUGAAAUAGCAAAGAGUACAAAAAAGCCAGUGAGUAGAACAGAUGGGGAACUGAGAUUUGAGGACUGAAACAGCCAAGAUAAUAAGCAACCAACAACCACAAAGUUGGAGAAGAAAUCAUUGAGGGCAGGGAAGACAAUUGGAGCUGGAGGCUUGAAAGGCAGGAGCAAGACAGAAGAAAAUGGAAGAGAGAUGUUUUGAAGUAUAGUGAAAUCACGCAGCGCAACAUUUACUAUUUGAAAACUAAAGAUGAGUACAGGCCAAAGUCAUGAGUAUUGCUUUGAAGUGCCCAAAUGUUAGAAAAGACCAGCAAGUUUCAGAAUAAGCUCAUAUCUGACCUGAUUACUCGAAACCAAUGCUGUCUUUAUAAAAUAGGAAAAACAAAAUUGCACUUUGAAGCAAUCCUGAACUCAGUGUGCUUUGGCCCAAAUAUUGAUGAUGUAAGAAUUCUCCUUUUAAAAAAAAAUAAAGAAUUGUACCUUCAGCAGCUUUACAAACGCAGCUGUUGGGCAUAGGCUUCAAUUAUAUGUAAGUCAGUAUAUUGGUACCAGCUUGUGAAAAGAUCGUUAUAGGAUUCCUUUUUUUCCUUUUUUCCCUUCAGGGUCUUUUAGUUAACAGGAAAACCCAAGUGAACUGGUACUUCCAUCUCAGAUUGAAAUCAGCUGAAUAAAAGUUUUCUUUCCAAGAUUUCCUGGCAUGAUGGAAGAGAAAAAUCUUGCAAUCUCUGAAUCUUACGUAGUAAGUGAAUAAGGAAAUAGGAGUUUUGUCCUGUAUUUCUGAAUUGUCCUGUACAUUUCUGAAUGUAAGUCUUGUAUUUUUUUCUGAAUGGUAGAAGCACUUUCUAUGGCAAUUUCUGCACAGCACCACUGCAGUCUGAUUGUGUGGACAUACAGGUAGAUUUAAAGAAAACAAGCAGCUUUUUCAAAAUGUACUUUGUCAGCUUCAUAGUAUUUCAUCUUUGUGGUACAAUGCAAGCUGAGCAAGUUAAUGAUUAUCACUAUAUCCUUAUGAAAGGAUAGUAAUAAUCUUUCUUUCCUAUUAUUGAGGAGAGUUCUUGCUGACUCUUGACAGGUUUGCUGGUGGUGGUGUAAUUGAUGGUUGUUCUGUUUUGUUUUUGUAGCAGAAGCCAGGUUCUGCUUUAUCACCCAUUUUUUUGUUAACCUAACUUCGGCCUGUUCCAGAGAAAUAUUAUUAAACUGUAGAAUGGGCUCAGAUUUUUGGAAGCUCUGUUUUGAACAGAGUCCAGUGUGCAUGGUGUUCAAGCAGAUUACUUCCUUUGCUUCAUGAAAUGACUGAUGAAGUUCUCUCUCUUAAAAAAAAAAAAAAAAAAAAAAAAAAAAAAAAAAAAAAAAAGGCCUUCUAUGGUGUCAUGACUGGCUGGAUAGAGGUGAGAGCAGAGGAUAUUGUUUAUCUUGACUUCAGCAAGGCUUUUUGACACUGUCUCCCAUAACAUCCUUGUAAGUAAGCUGAGGAAAUGUGAGGUAGAUGAGUGGAUUAUGAGGUGGAAUGAGACAAUUUUGCAGUAGUGCAAGAAGAUGUUAAGACUGACACUUGUUUAGCCAUGGCAUUAUAUUUUUAUUAUUUCAAAAAGCUAUUCUCACUGCACUGCAUAUGUCUUCACAGAGUUAAACAUUUUGGAUCUAAAGUAGCAGGAGACACCUAGUAUUCCUACAAAAUUAAUGGAGGAGAUUUUGGAGAUCUUCUGGUGAUCCAGUUUUUGUCCAAAGAAAUUGUAGCUCUGGUUGUUUUGCUUUCUGACAGGAAAAAUAUCUUACUUUUUUCUUCUGCUCUAAAUCAUUUUAACAUCACUGGGAAACUCUUAUAUCUUACUUCAGCCUGACGAAAAUAUUUGCAGAUGUGCAGAAACAUGCUCUACAUAUGCUUUAGAGAAUGCCUGCUUUAGAAGAUGCAGUAAGGAUAAGACAGUGAUACAUAAUUGCAGCUAAUUUUUUGGUUGACAAGUUUCAGCAUCUUAUUUUAGGUCUAUUGCAACGGUUAUGAUAGAUUUCCUUGAAAGAUUUGCUGUUGCAACAGCUUGUUGAUCAAAAUUGUCUUUCCUUGGUUGGAAUGGAAUUUGAGAAUUAAACGGGCUAAAGAAGAAACCAAAUUUCAAGGGCAGAUCAGACAAUCCUGUAAAUCUUCAGUCAUCACUCUAGAGACAGACUGAAAAUAUGAAGAGUGCACAAAUUGUUUCAUGGAAGAUCUUCAAGCAGAGUUUAAUGUUUUUGGUUUGGAGAACUGGGGUUUCUUCAUCUUAAUCAAAUUCUUGUCUCAGGCACAAAUCUUUCUCCUUUCCUGCCACAGAACAAAAAACGACCUACUUUUUCCCAGCUAUACCUUACUCUGGAAAUAGAAACACAUGCUCGUUCUGAAGAUAUGCCACUAAGGGUAAAAAACCAUCUUUGAGCUGUCACAUCACUGAAAUCUUUGGCAAAUGCAGGAAAGGAGGACUUGGCAUUCACAGAAGCUGGCUGCAGCUGUGCUUUAAUUGAUACUCUC
ensembl:lncRNA